rnacentral:rRNA from 1 species
AGUGAACGCUGGCGGUAGGCCUAACACAUGCAAGUCGAACGGCAGCACAGUAAGAGCUUGCCCUUACGGGUGGCGAGUGGCGGACGGGUGAGGAAUACAUCGGAAUCUACUUUUUCGUGGGGGAUAACGUAGGGAAACUUACGCUAAUACCGCAUACGACCUACGGGUGAAAGCAGGGGAUCUUCGGACCUUGCGUGAUUGAAUGAGCCGAUGUCGGAUUAGCUAGUUGGCGGGGUAAAGGCCCACCAAGGCGACGAUCCGUAGCUGGUCUGAGAGGAUGAUCAGCCACACUGGAACUGAGACACGGUCCAGACUCCUACGGGAGGCAGCAGUGGGGAAUAUUGGACAAUGGGCGCAAGCCUGAUCCAGCCAUACCGCGUGGGUGAAGAAGGCCUUCGGGUUGUAAAGCCCUUUUGUUGGGAAAGAAAAGCAGCAGGUUAAUACCCCGCUGUUCUGACGGUACCCAAAGAAUAAGCACCGGCUAACUUCGUG